AGGAAUAUAGCUCAGUGGCACAGUGCCUGCCUUGCAAGCACAAGGUCCUGAGUUCGAUUUUCAGUAACCUCU
rnacentral:tRNA from 1 species